rnacentral:lncRNA from 1 species
GUGAUCCAGCAGGCCGUACACAGGCCUGCAGGUGUGGCUCAGUACCUGCAACAGAUGUAUGCAGCACAGCAGCAUCACAUAAUGCUGCAGACCCUCCAUCAACACCAUCAGCCCACUUGCCCUGCUGCCCACACCUCAGUGGGGUCUACUCAUCAGUCAAACAGCCAGCAGACCACCUCCUCUCCUUCAUCAGCCAAUGGGAGCAGUGCAGUAAGUGUCUUAGCAAUUUACACAGUGUCACUGAUUUGAAGAUGUAAAGUCUGUAGGGUGCUAGGGAAGUAAACACUGAUGUAAACACAGGAUUUGUUACUCUGCUCUAGGUCCCACUGCCCAGCUCUUCGCUCUCUCAACUCCAGUCCCCCACUGUCUCCGCCUCUACAGGGACGAUAUCCCAGCAGGCCGUUUUGCUGGGGAAUGGCUCGGCUCCUGGCAGUCAGGCUCAGAUGUACCUGCGCACUCAGAUGCUGAUUCUGGCUCCUGCUGCCACAGUAGCUGCUGAUCUGCCUGCUCUAUGCUCUGCCUCCUCUCAGCCCCUCUCCACACAGGUGACAACACUUCAACUAAACCAUUUUAAAGUAGUUUAUUUGAUAAUCUGUAUUGCUGUGCAUAAUGUAGUGCUGUCACUUGUGCUGACCCACACUGCAGGUUCCGAGCUUGGCUCUGCGAACACAUCUUCCAGGAGCCCUCAGUGCUGCACAUGGCAUCCAGCUGAAGAGCACUCAGGGUCAGACUCUGGUCACCCCACUCCCAAGAAUGUCUAUAUGUCCCCUGAAAUCCACACAGCUCUCCCAGGCCCUGACUGAGACAUCCAGAAGUGAGUAGAUGAUACAUUUCUCUCAGUAGAUGUGGCAGCAAGCUCUCUUAUUCAAUCUCUUUCUUUAGCAGGGGCCUCUCCAGCUCUGGUGCGGCACCAGAUGAACUGCCCACCCAGCCCGAAGGGGGCAACUCCUCAGUUCAUCCUGCAGAGUGGCGUGGCUCAGAGGCAGGGGCAGCCGUUUGCUCUGCGGGUCACCUCACAGGACAGCAGUCACCCUCCACUAUCCCUGCUGUCCCAGACCACGCCAACCUCCACCGCUGUCCUAUCACAUCACUGCGAGGUUGUCUCAAGCCACACCCCUUGUGACCACCUGGCCAAUCAGAAGACAGAACAGCAGCAGUCUGUAGUGGCAUCUACUUCAAUGCUUCCGGCUCUACCGGACCCUCCUCCUCUUCAUCUUGCUCCAGUAGUGGACCCCCUGUGCCAUCCUCAGCCCCUGAGCUUCCCCCCACCUCCACCGCCCCUGACCUUGGCACCACCCCGGCUGUCUGCAGCCGCUCCUCCUCCACCCUCCGUACAGAGGCUGUCCCUACGCUCCGUCCAUGCACUGGCCGUGCAGUCUGACCACAUGCUGCUGUCAGAGGAUGAGCUGCCUGUGGCUGAGACUCUAGCUCAGCUGCCCUACCAGAACCUCCCACCUCCACAGACGGCAGCCGUGGACCUAAAGGUGCAGCCCAAUGCACACAUGGAUGCAGCCUUAGUGAGUCUGAGGCUUUUUAUUAAUGGAUAAUUUAAACAUGCUGUUAAUAUGUUUUCAUUUACACAGUGUUACAGCAUCGUAGUAUUCACCUAUCAGUACCCUAGCAACACCAUAUAAGCUAUCUACUGGAUGUUAUUGGGACUGUAUGUUACGUUGUCUAUGCCAAAAGGUCACUUUAAUGUUUAACAGGCCCAGUCACUGCAGGAGGAUCGUUUGGAUGUCCUGAGACAUGAGGUACAAAAAUGUCCCAACAGGAGCAGGACCCCCAGCCCCCCAGCACUGACCCCAACAGUAGAGAAGCACAACUCCUGCAGAGAUGUAACCCAGCACAACGCACAAACAGGUGCCUCCUUCCUCUUUCAAAUGUGCAGCUCUAAUUAAACCAGUUCAGGGUUUUAAUGUGAACAUAAACAAGAGUGGAAAUAUUGGUACAGUGAAGCUGGACGUUUUCCUGCAGGAGAGUCGUUACAAUGCUGAGGAGAUCAACAGAAGGUUCAUGUGUAAACAGAAGCUGAUACGUUAGCAAGAAGCACAGUUCUAAAAAACAAAUGUCAGAGUAAAUACCUGCAGAGUUUUAGUUUUGCAGCUGAUUGGUUUGUUUUAGUGUUGAAUAUCGUAGGAACCACCUAGGAGAGCCGCUACAAUUGUUUCGAGACAGGUGAGAGGCUAAUGUGUAAACAGAAAUUCAUAUAUUAGUGGAAAACAUAGUGAAGUUCUAGAUCACAGUUGGUAAAAAGGACAGAAUUAUGAACCUGUGUUUUUAAAGUGUUUGGCAGCCACCUGGAACACUAGUCUAUUGGGAAUUGCUUGUGCUGUGCAAUCACUAAAUCUGUCUAGUAAUGUUGUUUCAUUUACAUUAGGGCUGCAACUAAUAAUUAUUCAGUAGUUGACUACUAGUUAGUUGACUAAUCAGUUUGUAAUAUAGUCAAUGAUUAUUUCUGCCUUGCCCUCUAUAUCUCUGCUUUCUGUGGAUGUGGCUAUUAUUUCAGUGCAUGUUAUACCUUACUUGCUGAAGUUUGUACACCUUUACAUAACAAGUUCCCAUGGCAAAUAAAAAUAAUGACUCACACCA